UCUGGACUCCAUGACAGACAUGUGCUGGAACAGGCUGGCAAGCUGUUAUGAGUUCCUGAAAAUUGCUGAGCAACCACUUGCAGAUGGUUUCCAUCUCAACUCUUCCACUCACCUGCUGAGAGAUUCUGAGCAUCUUUCAAUUAUCAGCUUGCCCUGCUGUCUCUGGGCUGGGAAAACAACAGUUUGUUUAGAAUAGCACAGACCUUGGCUACAUUGACUCAUGCAGUUGAUUGCUGAACCUGCCUUCCCAGGACCUGAAUCUCUGUGGACCAUGUUGAUCCCUUUGUACAUCCAGUUACGAACUUUACUCAGAUCCUAGACGGAGACUGGACACCAACACGGGACCUCAGAGCCCGAAACAUUAUGUAUCAGGUCUGAGCUGCUAAUCUCUGUUUCAUUUAUUUCUUCUGU
rnacentral:lncRNA from 1 species